UGUAUCCCCUGCUCCCUGCCCAUUGCUUUGAGUAAGCUUAACAAGUGUCAAAUGGGUGCAUCUGUUCGUGGAGUUAAGUAGUAUUCUUCCCAGGAAAAACGUUUGCUUUUUCAGUUGGAUAAGUUUGGACCUGUAGAAGUCUAUGGUCUAGUUAUGGAUAUAAAUGGGUAUGUAGCAUAGUAGGGAGGAGAUUGGAAGAAGGAUCAACUGAGAAUUGUUUAUAAUUCUUCAAAAGGACCUGCUAAACUUGACAAAUAACAGGUUAGCUUAGAUUGCAAAAGAGAGGAGAGAGACACUGGAGCGGGUACAAAGCUAAUAGACAAUUUAAAUUUCAAAUUAUAACUGGAAUAGAUAAUUGCAGUUAACAUUUACUGCUGAUCAGUGGUUUUCAAAUUCAAGAUGGCGUCAGAACCACCUGGAGGAUUGGUUAAAAAUGAAGACUCCUUGGUGCCAAUCUGCUGGGUUCCUAAUUCAAAAUUUCAGUGGCUAAUCUUGGAACAAACCAGGCAUGGAGCUCCAACUGCAGAAGCUUCCUGCUUAGGGGAAUCAUCAGGCUGAACUCAAGAUAAUGCCAACCAGACUUCUGGAUGGGCAACUACCACAGACAGCCAUCAGAACGAAGACACACAGACCCUACAACCUGUACCACUCCUGUGUCUCCUGUACCAAAUUUCCCUUUAAAACCCUUAUGGUACAUUUAAAGAUUUAAAAUGUUACUUUAGAAUGUUUGUCUUCUUGGCUUACUGGCUUUCUGAUAAAAACUUGCUUU